rnacentral:misc_RNA from 1 species
GAAAUGCGAUAAGUAAUGUGAAUUUCAGAACCGUGAAUCAUCGAAUCUUUGAACGCACCUUGCGCCCUCUGGUAUUCCGGAGGGCAUGCCUGUUUGAGUGUCAUGAAUACCUCACCCCCUCGGGUUUUUUUUUGCUCGAUCGGGUGGACUUGGGUGUCUGCCGACUGCCGGCUCGCCUUAAAUGUAUCAGUGGUCUCGGACGUAAUAAGUUUCGUCGUAGGGACCGCUCAUAACCUCCCGCGAGGGAUGCUCCCCGGAGCACUUUCAUGAUCUGACCUCAAAUCAGGUAGGGCUACCCGCUGAACUUAAGC